rnacentral:misc_RNA from 1 species
UCUCCGUUGGUGAACCGGCGGAGGGAUCAUUACCGAGUUUACAACUCCCAAACCCCAUGUGAACCUUACCAAACGUUGCUUCGGCGGGAUGCCCCGGGCGCGGGCCGCAAGGCCUCAGCCCCGGAACCAGGCGCCCGCCGGAGGCCCAAACCAAACUCUUGUUUUUGUAGAAUCUUCUGAGUGGCCUUUUAGGCAAAAAAUGAAUCAAAACUUUCAACAACGGAUCUCUUGGUUCUG